rnacentral:rRNA from 1 species
UACGGAGGGGGCUAGCGUUGUUCGGAAUUACUGGGCGUAAAGCGCACGUAGGCGGCUUUGUAAGUUAGAGGUAGAAAGCCCGGGGCUCAACUCCGGAAUUGCCUUUAAGACUGCAUCGCUAGAAUUGUGGAGAGGUAAGUGGAAUUCCGAAGUGUAGAGGUGAAAUUCGUAGAUAUUCGGAAGAACACCAGUGGCGAAGGCGACUUACUGGACACAU